rnacentral:piRNA from 1 species
GACUGAAAGAAAGAACUGAGCACAAGCG